rnacentral:rRNA from 1 species
GACGAACGCUGGCGGCGUGCUUAACACAUGCAAGUCGAACGGUAAGGCCCUUCGGGGUACACGAGUGGCGAACGGGUGAGUAACACGUGGGUGAUCUGCCCUGCACUUCGGGAUAAGCCUGGGAAACUGGGUCUAAUACCGGAUAGGACCACUGCCUGCAUGGGUGGUGGUGGAAAGCUUUUGCGGUGUGGGAUGGGCCCGCGGCCGAUCAGCUUGUGGGUGGGGUGAUGGCCUACCAAGGCGACGACGGGUAGCCGGCCUGAGAGGGUGACCGGCCACACUGGGCCUGAGAUACGGCCCAGACUCAGACGGGAGGCAGCAGUGGGGAAUAUUGCACAAUGGGGGCAAGCCUGAUGCAGCGACGCCGCGUGAGGGAUGACGGCCUUCGGGUUGUAAACCUCUUUCAGCACCGACGAAGCGCAAGUGACGGUAGGUGCAGAAGAAGGACCGGCCAACUACGUGCCAGCAGCCGCGGUAA